UAGGGAAUAUUGCAAAAUGGGCGAAAGCCCGAUGCAGCAACGCCGCGUGGGCGAUGAAGGCCUUCGGGUCGUAAAGCCCUUUUUGAGGGGAUGAGGAAGGACAGCACCCUCAGAAUAAGCCUCGGCUAACUACGUGCCAGCAGCCGCGGUAAAACGUAGGAGGCGAGCGUUAUCCGGAUUUACUGGGCGUAAAGCGCGUGCAGGCGGAUUGGAGAGUUGGAUGUGAAAGCUCCCGGCUUAACUGGGAGAGGUCGUUCAAUACUGCCAGACUAGAGAGUGGUAGAGGGAGAUGGAAUUCCGGGUGUAGUGGUGAAAUGCGUAGAUAUCCGGAGGAACACCAGUGGCGAAAGCGAUCUCCUGGACCAUUUCUGACGCUCAGACGCGAAAGCUAGGGUAGCAAACG
rnacentral:rRNA from 1 species